rnacentral:rRNA from 1 species
GACGAACCGUCCAAACGUUAUUCGGAUUAUUGGGCUUAAAGGGUGCGUAGGCUGUGCAGUAAGUUGGGUGUGAAAUCCCUCGGCUCAACCGAGGAACUGCGCCGAAUACUGCUGUGCUAGAGGAAGAUAGGGGUAAGCGGAACUGAUGGUGGAGCGGUGAAAUGUGUUGAUAUCAUCAGGAACACCGGUGGCGAAGGCGGCUUACUGGAUCUUUUCUGACGCUGAUGCACGAAAGGCUAGGGGAGCGAACGGGAGUU